rfam:Gorilla gorilla gorilla genomic chromosome, chr6, whole genome shotgun sequence
GCCGGGCGCGGUGGCUCACGCCUGUAAUCCCAGCACUCUGGGAGGCCGAGGCGGGUGGAUCACCUGAGGUCGGGAGUUCGAGACUAGCCUGACCAACAUGGAGAAACCCGUCUCUA